UACGUAGGGUGCAAGCGUUGUCCGGAAUUAUUGGGCGUAAAGAGCUCGUAGGCGGUCUGUCGCGUCUGCUGUGAAAACUCGGGGCUUAACUCCGGGCCUGCAGUGGGUACGGGCAGACUAGAGUGCGGUAGGGGAGACUGGAAUUCCUGGUGUAGCGGUGAAAUGCGCAGAUAUCAGGAGGAACACCGGUGGCGAAGGCAGCUUGCUGGGACGUUACUGACGCUAAGGCGCGAAAGCGUGGGGAGCGAACAGG
rnacentral:rRNA from 1 species